UCGGACGUGGUGGACGGUGCACAUCAGCUUCAUGUGGAAGAUCCUAGACCCGUCUGAGCCCGUGAUGCUGAGGGACUGGGUUCGAUUCCCGGCGUCUGAA